UUUUUUUUUCGCUUUCCUCUUUCUCCCAUCGACCUUGAGAUUCGAAAUAAAGUUUCUUUAACUCCUACAUUAACUUCUUUCUCCCAUCGACCUUGAGAUUCGAAAUAAAGUUUCUUUAACUCCUACAUUAACUUCGAGCUUGUACCAAGUCAUAUUGUAUUUGUGAUUCCAGUAGAUGACCGAUCAUUGAAACCUUGUAGAUGAUACAUCG
rnacentral:lncRNA from 1 species